ACUAGUUGUCGGGUCUUAAUUGACUUGGUAACGCAGCUAACGCGUGAAGUAGACCGCCUGGGGAGUACGGUCGCAAGAUUAAAACUCAAAGGAAUUGACGGGGACCCGCACAAGCGGUGGAUGAUGUGGAUUAAUUCGAUGCAACGCGAAAAACCUUACCUACCCUUGACAUGGUCGGAAUCCUGAAGAGAUUUGGGAGUGCUCGAAAGAGAACCGGCGCACAGGUGCUGCAUGGCUGUCGUCAGCUCGUGUCGUGAGAUGUUGGGUUAAGUCCCGCAACGAGCGCAACCCUUGUCAUUAGUUGCUACGAAAGGGCACUCUAAUGAGACUGCCGGUGACAAACCGGAGGAAGGUGGGGAUGACGUCAAGUCCUCAUGGCCCUUAUGGGUAGGGCUUCACACGUCAUACAAUGGUACAUACAGAGGGCCGCCAACCCGCGAGGGGGAGCUAAUCCCAGAAAGUGUAUCGUAGUCCGGAUUGUAGUCUGCAACUCGACUACAUGAAGUUGGAAUCGCUAGUAAUCGCGGAUCAGCAUGUCGCGGUGAAUACGUUCCCGGGUCUUGUACACACCGCCCGUCACACCAUGGGAGCGGGUUUUACCAGAAGUGGGUAGCCUAACCGCAAGGAGGGCGCUCACCACGGUAGGAUUCGUGACUGGGGUGAAGUCGUAC
rnacentral:rRNA from 1 species